UGUCUUCUUAAAUAUGACUGGAAAAUCCCAGCUACUUGGGAGGCUGAGGCAGGAGAAUCGCUUGAACCUAGGAGGUGGAAAUUGCAGUGAGCCGAGAUGGUGCCACUGCACUCCAGCUUGUGUGACAGAGGGAGACUCUGUCUAAAAAAAAAAAAAAAGAGAGAGAGAGAGAGAAAAGAAUAGUGUAAAACCUCUUACACUUACAAGAAAGUGUGCUGCACGAAGAGGUUUAUGGGAUGCAGGCUAAUGGAGUGUGCUCUUUCUGGGACAUUGAUAGUCUUACGACACAGGGAGAAGACAGCCAUGUGUCUCAGUCCUACAACUGCAAGAACAAAAUGUUGUCAACAGCAUGAAUUUGGAAGCAGAUUCCUCCCCAGAGCCUCCAAAGAAGAACGUGGCUCCACCAACACCCUGAUUUGGCCUUAUGGAACCUGGAGCAGAGAAACCAAUUGAGCCAAGAUCUGCCCAGACUUCUGACCCAUGGAUGUGGCAAGAUAAUAAAUGAGUGUUGUAGUAAGACUUUAUUUGUGGA
rnacentral:lncRNA from 13 species